GUCUCUGCCGAUCCGUAACACCUUGUUCAAGUGUGAGUAGACUGCAACCUCUCAGCCCUUAUGAUUGGGUGCAAAACCAACAGUCCUAGAAGCUGCAGUGUCUGGGGAUUUCUUGAUGUCUCUGUGGAGCCAUUGAGCCUUGUACCUUACUGGAGGCUGCAGAAUUGUCUGCAUACGGACAUCUCCCCAGCUUUGGAAGGGGGACUGAGGUCCAGGAUGAACAUGCCAGCUAAUGGGAAAUCACCACAGAGGUUCCCUGCACAGAUUCCAGGAGAACUUGGAAGACCAUUUGAGGGGUCCGUGUCAUUCGAGGAUGUGGCUGUGGAUUUCACCCGACAAGAGUGGCACAGACUGGACCCUGCUCAGAGGACCAUGCACAAGGAUGUGAUGCUGGAGACCUACAGCAACCUGGCAUCCGUGGGCCUCUGCGUGGCCAAACCAGAGAUGAUCUUCAAAUUGGAGCGAGGAGAAGAACUGUGGAUAUUAGAGGAGGAAUCUUCAGAUCAUGGUUACUCAGGAUCUCUCUCGCUACUGUGUGGCAACAGCUCUGUUGGGGCUAAUGCCCUCAGGCUGGAUAACAGCCUGCUUCAGCAUCAGAGUCUUCACAGUUUGAAUCAAAACGUUGAAUAUAAUGGAUGUGGGAAAGGCUUCCACCAGGAAACCGGCUUCCUUCAACAGAAAAGAACACACACUGGAGAUAAAAGCUUUGAAUGUCACGAAUGUGGGAAGGCAUACUGCAGGAAAUCAAACCUGGUUGAACAUCUGCGAAUACACACAGGGGAAAAACCUUAUGAAUGUGGCGACUGUGCCAAAACCUUCAGUGCCAGAUCAUACCUCAUUGCCCAUCAGAAAACUCACACGGGGGAGAAGCCUUUCGAAUGCCCUGAAUGUGGGAAAUCUUUUGGCCGGAAGUCACAACUCAUUUUACACAGGAGAACCCACACAGGAGAGAGACCCUAUGAAUGUACAGAAUGUGGGAAAACCUUUUCCGAGAAGGCAACUCUCACCAUCCACCAGAGGACCCACACGGGGGAGAAACCCUACAAGUGUAGUGAAUGUGGGAAACCAUUUCGUGUCAAGAUAGCCCUCACCCAGCACCAGAGAACUCACACGGGGGAGAAACCCUAUGAAUGUGGGGAAUGCGGGAAAAAUUUCAGGGCAAAGAAAUCCUUAAAUCAACAUCAGAGCAUUCACACAGGGGAGAAACCUUAUGAAUGUGCAGAAUGUGGGAAGUUCUUCCGAAUGAAGAUGACUCUCAAUAAUCAUCAGAGGAUCCACACGGGUGAGAAACCCUAUCAGUGCAAUGAAUGUGGGAAAGCUUUCAGUGUGCACUCCUCUCUUGGGGUCCAUCAGAGAAUUCACACGGGAGAGAAGCCUUACCAAUGCAACAAAUGUGGUUAUGCCUUCUACGUGAAAGCACGUCUCAUCGAGCAUCAGCGAAGGCAUUCAGGAGAGAAACCCUAUGAAUGCACUGAGUGUGGGAAGAUCUUUAGCAUGAGGAAGUCCCUUCGCCAGCACCGGAGAACGCACACAGGAGAGAAACCAUAUGAAUGCAGCGAGUGUGGAAAUGCCUUCUAUGUGAAAGCCCGUCUCAUUGAGCAUCAGCGAAUUCACACGGGGGAGAGACCCUUUGAAUGUCAAGAGUGUGGGAAGGCUUUCUGCCGGAAGGCACACCUCACAGAACACCGGAGAACUCACUUAGGCCGGCCCUUGCCAUGUGCAAUAGAAAAAGCCCCUCCCUAAAGACCCUCCCCACCCCUGGAUCAAGCUCCUUGGGGCAUCUGAUUACCAGAGCACUCAGAAUACCCCUAUCAUGGUGUGGCACCUAGCUUGGUGGAAAGCUAGUUCCUGACCCCCUUAGGGGGCAGCUCCUUGUUAUUUUCAUUUGUAUUUCCCCAGUUGGUGGUGAAGCUGAAUAUCUUAUCCGUUUGGCCCUUCAGGUUUUUCCUUCCAUGUAUUGACUGUUCACACUCUUUCCUCAAUGAUUAUUUGGUACUGAGAAUUGAACCCAUGGGCACUUUACCACUGAGCCACAGCCACAGUCCUUUUUUAUUUUGAGACUGUGUUUCACUAUGCUUCUAAGGCUGGCCUUGAACUUGCCUCAGCCUCCAAAGUAGCUGGUGCUCACUGUUUUCUUUUGUCUUUUUUAAAAAAAUUUUUAGUUGUUGAUGGAUCUUUAUUUUAUUUAUUUGAAUGUGGUGCUGAGAAUUGAAUCCAGUGUGUCAUGCGUGCUAGGCAAGCAUGCUACCACUGAGUCACAACCCCAGCCCCUCUUUUGUCUUUCUUUUUUUCUGUACCAGAGAAUGACCCCAGGGGUGCUUAACCACUAAGCCACAUCCCAAGUCUUUUUUAUUUUUUAUUUUGACACAGGACCUCACUAAGUUACUGAAGGUGGCUUCAAAUUGUGAUCCUCCUGCCUCAGCCUCAUGAGUUGCUGGGAUUACAUGCAGGUGCCCCUGUGCUUGGAGUCAAGACUUGGGUUUCCUGAGGAAAAAAAAUCAGGAAUACUGGCCACUAAAGCAGAUGAAAAACUUGGACAGUGGAAAACCCCCCAUCCUCUUAAGGCUUUAGAAAUUGUCUUUACCCCUGAAUAUGACCUUUUCUGAGGCCCCUGCUGGGAUAUGCUGACCCUCCUUUAACUAUCAUCAUGACCAGGGCAUUCCUCCACUCCACAGUGUAGAUUUGAUCCUCAGAAGUCUAACCACAGUCUCUUCCCAACUUAACAUUAGUCUCCACCCCACUAGUUUUUACCUCCAUGACUUACCAUCCCAUGUCUACUAACUCCCCAUUAGCUCACAGCUCUGCAGACCAGAGCACAAUGUCUGCCGACUGACAACUAGCCCACAAAACCUUGUUUGAUCACACCCUUAUCCCCAGCAGAGUCUGCCAAACUCCCAUUAGCUCACAGCACCAUGUCUUGCCAUCCCCAUGAGCUGCCAUUACAAUUCUUGCUGACCCCAUUAGCUGACAUCAAGUUUGAUCAGCCCCCUGAUAAGACUGGUGAUUCUCCUUCAGGUUGGUUUUGUAGCUUACUGUCCUUUACAUUGAGCAUGGGGACAGUGACCUCCCAUCACAGCCACGUGUCUUACCACCUUCCUUCAGACUAAUGUAGUGUCUGUUGACCUCACCAUUUUGUCCUCUGGUGCCCCAUUGGCUACCAGUAUGAUGUAAUUAACCCACUGAGUUGUCAUCAUGGUGUCUGCUCACCCAUCAUUAGAUCACAUCUGCACAGUGUGUCUUCCACAGUACACUUUCGUCAAGGUCUGUCUGCUGUUCCCCAGUUAGCCACCAGUAUGGUGAAUCUGAUCCUUCUGAGUCCUGGUGUCUUCAGAACUCAUUUGACCUUGUCCUUCUGUCUUCUGAUUUCUCACUUGCCAAGUUUCAAGGUUUCUUAACCUUGAGGACACAGUGGUAUCCAUGUUCCCUAUAAUAGGCCCCAUUACUGUGUCUUCCAACCAUAUAUUACAGCCUAUCAAUGUUUCUGCUGACAUUAAUGUCUUUAGACUUAUUUGCUAUCAGUACAUAGUAUGACCCCCUUUAGGGCCUAUCACCAUAGUUUUUGUCCACAUGGUAGUCCAGUCAUUGUGUCUGAUGGGUCUCCCCAUUAACUAUGGGGAUUGUAUCAUUCGCUUCUUAAGGCCUCAUCAGUACAGUCUACUGAUCCCAUAUUAGCCACUUUCAUAGUUCUGUUGAUCCUCCAGUAAAUAGCUAUCUAGAUUCUUUGAUACCCAUGAUGCUCCAGCAAUGUAUUUGCUGAUUGUACCCUAGCUUACCAUCACUCUGUCAGCUGAUUCCCAAUUAAUUACAAGAGCACAGACUUUAACCUCCAUGAAUUCCCAGCACAGUAUUUGCUGAGUCCACAUUAACCUCACCUUGCUGGUCAUUCAGCAGUCAUGAAGAAUGUCUUUGACCCUUACAAAGCCCAAUCACGGUGUUUGCUGACAAUGCAAUGAUCUCCAUCACUGUGCACGUUGAUUCUCCAUUAGCUGCUGUUAGAGUGUCUGGAUGCAAUGAUGCCCCAGCAGAGUGAUUCUGCCCUACUUCAGAGCCGGUCACUAUUAGACUCAAUGCUAUGACUACUAGCCACUGUCUUUGCCUCAUGUUUCUCAGUCACAAUACCUGUCUACCCUACAUUAAUGCCAUCACGGUGUCUGAUAAUCUUGGUGAUAACUACAGGGUCUUUGAGCUUCAUAAAAAAUCAGCUGAGGCAGGAGGAUUGCAAGUUCCAAGCUAGCUUUAGCAACUUAGUGAGAUCCUAAGCAACUUAGUGAGACCCUGUCUACAAAUAAAAUAUUUUUAAAAAAGGGCUGGGGAUGGACUGGGAUUGUAGUUCAGUGGUAGAGCACUUGCCUAGCAUGUUGUGAGGCACUGGGUUUGAUUCUCAGCACCGCACAUAAAUGAAUAAAUAAAUAAAUAAAGGUCCAUCAACAUCUAAAAAAACAGGGGGAGUUGGGGAUGUGGCUUCAUGGUUAAGCGCCCCCAGGUUCAAUCCCUGGUACCAAGAACAAAAUGCAAAACAAAACAAAAAAAAAACACAACAAAAAAUGAAACCAGUGUCUGCUGACCCCACUUUAGCCCUUAAUCACUUUGCUGAUUAGCUCUCAAGCACCACUAAAAAGUAGUUUAGUCUCCAUCACAGCAUCAUCCCAUUCACUGGCCCCAUCCCCAUGUAGGUUGAUGCUUCAUUGUCCCCUGGUGCAGUGUACUGACCUCAUGUGCUCCAGCAUAAUGCCAGAGGUGCAUUGGAGGCUCUCCUUCAUUAAAGCCCUUUAGGGUUUUAAAUGACACCACAUUAGCCACCAUGACAAUGUUUUGGACCCCAAUGAUUUCCCAUAGCCAUGUGUGCUGAUGCUAUGUCAGUUCCUAUCAUUCUAUUAAAUCCUCACUGGUCACCAGAACUGGCUUUGAUCUCUAUGGUGAUGCCACACACUUCUGGUGACCGUAUCUUAGGACCAAUCAGUGUUGCCUGAUCUCUUUAGGCUGGUUUAUUGGCUGUUCUUUCCAUCACUGUAAUUGUUCCUGAAGAAUUGGUAGUUCCCCAGUUCUUCAGGCUAUUGUCUUGUUUCUCUGAAUGUUCACUGAGCUUCAGGGAGGGUUCCUUGGUCUUGUUGGCUGUGGGGUCUAUCCUCUCUGCCUCUGUCUAUUUUGUAGGCCUUUGGACUGUUUUCCAAAUAGAAGGACUCUUGUGGUCUCUCCAGAUGUUUGACAGUCCUGCUGUUCCCCAGAUCUGAAGGCUUUGCCUGUACCUCUAGCUAUUUUCUUGCUUCUCUGGUGUCCCCUGAGUGCUAGAGAUAGAUCCUUGUUCUCUCUGGCUGCCUGCUUAGGUAUUUCUCACUGUUACAUAACAUUUGGGGAUGGUUUCCUCUUCCAUUUGGUUGUUGUUAUAUUCUCUUUGCCUGUCCACUAACUAUAAGGACUGAUCUCUGGCCCUGCUGGCUAUUUGAUAAUCAUUCUGACUGUUUAUAUCACUACAGGACUGGUCUUUGAACCCGGUGGCUAUUUUUCAGUUUCUUGGGAUGUGUUCUCAGUCCUGGAUUCUUCUGCCUCUUUCUAGCUGCUCCCUAAUACCUAGAAUAGGUUACCUUACUCUUGUUACCCCAAUCCAGCAAUGUUCAGAUUUCAUACUGAUGUUUUCUGGUCUCUUCAACUAUUUUUCAACCCCAAGGACUGUUGUACAAUAGUCCUCUGUUAUGUGCAGAGGAUACAACAUGCCACAAUCCCUAACAGAUGCCUGAAACUGUAGACCAUAUCAAACUCUCUAUAUACUGUUUUCUAUUAUACAUACAUAUGAUAAAGUUUAAUUCAUAAAUUAAACACAGUAAGAGAUUAACAAUAACAAUAAAAUAGGACACAUAACAAUAAACUGUAACAAGCAGUACAGUGUAAUAUUUCAUCAUUCUACUCAAAAUGGCAUGCAAUUUAAAACUUACAAAUUAUUUAUUUCUGGAAUUUUCUAUGUACUAUUUCCAUGUACUAUAGAUAACUGAAAAUGUGGAAAGUAAAACCAUGGAUAAAGGGGACUACUGUACCCACUGGAUGCAACUGAGGACGUUAAACAGCAACUGAGAAUUGCAGGCUGUAGAGGGAACACCUUUUUCCCAGUAAGAUCCUUGCCACAGGGGAGCAAUUUCUAUAGAGAGGCUGCCUGCUUCAGAGCCCUGGUGUGGACUCAUGGCAGGACAUCUGGUGCCCUGGGGUCACUGUUUCCUUCCAUUACCCUUUUAGAAAAUCCAUUAAAGUGAGCGCUCCCCAGCAUUCACUGUGUCAGUGUUGAAUCUCUGUGAUAGCUGAGAGGAUGUGCAUGGUGGGGAUCACAGGCAUAAAAGGUGUGUAGCAUAGGAUCCAUCUCAGUGGGUAACUUCUGUACCAGUCCUCCUUUAAUGGGAAUCACAUCUCUACCCAGUAUCCUUCAGAUGUCUGUGCUAAGAUUGAAGGAUGACUAUGGGAUGUCUUUGCUCCUUGGAGAUUUUUAUUUUUAUUUUUAAAAAAAUAUUUAUUUUUUAGUUUUAGGUGGUGACAAUAUCUUUAUUUUAUAUUGGUGCUGAGAAUUGAACCCAAUGCCUCAUGCAUGCUAGGUGAACACUUUACCUCUGAGCUACAACCCCAGCCCUCCAUGGGUAUUUUUAAAACCGAAAUAUGAAACUCUCAUGAUAAGAACUUAAACUACAAUAUUAUUAACAGUGAUUUAAUUUCUAGAUACUCAGUGUGGUGUAACACAUAAGAAUACUAAAGCCAGAUCAACAUUUCAAUGCUGGCCCUGAAUGGCUUCUUAGAUGUGAUAGCAAAAACACAUAAAACAAAAAGUAGGUAAAUGGGACUUUAUCACAAAAACUUUUCUGCUAUAAAUUUGCAAAUCCCAUAUCUGGUUAAAGAUUUGUAUCCAGUAUACAUAAAGAACUCUUAAACUUGGAUAUAAAAGCAUAAAUAACCCAAUUAAAAAUGGGCAAAGGUUUUAAGUUGAUAAUUUCCCAAAGACAUACAAAUGCCCAAUAAACACAUGAAUAGAUAUGGAACAUCACUAGCCAUUAGGGGUCAUGGCUCGGGAUGUAGCUCAGUGUAGAGCACUUGCCUUGCGUUCCAUUCCCAGCACCACAAAAACAAACAAACCAAAACAAAAUAAAAUGAGAUAUCACUUUAUAUCCUCUAGAAAUGGAUAGAAUAAAAAAAUGAGACAAUAACAAGUGUUGCCAAGGAUUGGAACACUUUAAAAAUUUUUUUUUUGUAGUUGCAGAUGGACAGAAUGCCUUUAUUUGUUAUCUGAUGCUGAGGCUCAAACCUGCCACUGAGUCACAACCCCAGCCCUUUAACACUUUUACAUUGUUGAUGGGAUGUAAAGCAGUGCAGCCUUUUUGGAAAACAGUGUGGCAGUUUUUUUCAGAAUGCUAAUCAUACAGUUGCCAUGUGAUCUAGGAAUUCCACUCUUUGGUAUCUAUCUGAGAGAAAGGAAAACACACACUCAACAAAAACUUGUACACAGAUAUUCACAGCAGCAUUAUUCAUAGUUGCCAAAAAGUAGAAACCACACAAAUUCCCAUUAACUGAUGAAUAGAUAAACAGAAUGUGGUGUGUGCAUACAAUAGAAUAUUAAUUAGUGCUAUAAAGGAAUGAUGGCCAGGCAUGGAGGUGCAAACCUGGAAUACCAGCAACUCAGGAGGCUGAGGCAGGAGGAAGUUCAAGGCCAGCCUUGGCAACAUAGUGAGACCCUGUCGCAAAAUAAAAUAAAGGGUUGGGGAUGUAGCUGAGUGAUACAGCACUUGUCUAGCAUGCAUGAGAUACUUAGUCCCCAGUACCACACACACAUGAACAAGGAAUGAUAUAUAAGCAUGGAUGAUCUUUGAAACAUGUUAACUGAAAGAAGCAAAAGACUGCAUAUUAUAUGAUUACAUUUAUAUGAAAUGUCCAGAAUAAGCAAAUCUAUAAAGUCAAAAUGUAGAUUAGUGGUUGUCUAGGGCUGGGGUGGGGAGCAAUAUAAAAAUGGAGAGUGAUAGUGGAGAGUGUUUAAGCACCCCUG